rnacentral:rRNA from 1 species
AUUGAACGCUGGCGGCACGCUUUACACAUGCAAGUCGAACGGUAACAGGGUGCUUGCACCGCUGACGAGUUGCGAACGGGUGAGUAAUGCGUCGGAACGCACCGAGUAAUGGGGGAUAACGCAGCGAAAGCUGUGCUAAUACCGCAUACGCUCUGAGGAGGAAAGCGGGGGACCUUCGGGCCUCGCGUUAUUCGAGCGGCCGACGUCUGAUUAGCUAGUAGGUGAGGUAAGAGCUCACCUAGGCGACGAUCAGUAGCGGGUCUGAGAGGAUGAUCCGCCACACUGGGACUGAGACACGGCCCAGACUCCUACGGGAGGCAGCAGUGGGGAAUUUUGGACAAUGGGCGCAAGCCUGAUCCAGCCAUGCCGCGUGUCUGAAGAAGGCCUUCGGGUUGUAAAGGACUUUUGUCAGGGAGGAAAUCCUUAGCGCUAAUACCGUUGAGGGAUGACAGUACCUGAAGAAUAAGCACCGGCUAACUACGUGCCAGCAGCCGCCGUAA